UAAUACGUAGGUCCCGAGCGUUGUCCGGAAUUACUGGGUGUAAAGGGUGCGCAGGCGGUCUUGUGCGUCAGAAGUGAAAUAUCACGGCUUAACCGUGAGGGUGCUUUUGAAACGGCGAGACUUGAGUACGGGAGAGGAUGAUGGAAUUCCUGGUGUAGCAGUGAAAUGCGUAGAUAUCAGGAGGAACACCGGUGGCGAAGGCGGUCAUCUGGCCCGGUACUGACGCUCAGGCACGAAAGUGUGGGUAGCAAACAGGAUUAGAUACCCUGGUAGUCCACACUGUAAACGAUGUAUGCUUGGUGUUGGGGUAGCAAUACUUCAGUGCCGUAGGGAACCUAUUAAGCAUACCACCUGGGGAGUACGAUCGCAAGGUUG
rnacentral:rRNA from 1 species